rnacentral:rRNA from 1 species
UUUAUGGAGAGUUUGAUCCUGGCUCAGGAUGAACGCUGGCGGCGUGCCUAAUACAUGCAAGUCGAGCGAACAGAUAAGGAGCUUGCUCCUUUGACGUUAGCGGCGGACGGGUGAGUAACACGUGGAUAACCUACCUAUAAGACUGGGAUAACUUCGGGAAACCGGAGCUAAUACCGGAUAACAUAUUGAACCGCAUGGUUCAAUAGUGAAAGGCGGCUUUGCUGUCACUUAUAGAUGGAUCCGCGCCGUAUUAGCUAGUUGGUAAGGUAACGGCUUACCAAGGCAACGAUACGUAGCCGACCUGAGAGGGUGAUCGGCCACACUGGAACUGAGACACGGUCCAGACUCCUACGGGAGGCAGCAGUAGGGAAUCUUCCGCAAUGGGCGAAA